rnacentral:rRNA from 1 species
UGGGGAAUAUUGGACAAUGGGCGAAAGCCUGAUCCAGCAAUGCCGCGUGUGUGAAGAAGGCCUUAGGGUUGUAAAGCACUUUCAGUGGGGAGGAAGGUAAAUAUGCUAAUACCAUGUUUAUUUGACGUUACCCACAGAAGAAGCACCGGCUAACUCUGUGCCAGCAGCCGCGGUAAUACGAAGGGGGCUAGCGUUGUUCGGAAUUACUGGGCGUAAAGCGCGCGCAGGCGGUUUUUCAAGUCAGUGGUGAAAGCCCGGAGCUCAACUCCGGAACUGCCAUUGAAACUGUGAAACUUGGGGACGAGAGAGGUGAGUGGAAUUCCCAGUGUAGAGGUGAAAUUCGUAGAUAUUGGGAAGAACACCGGUGGCGAAGGCGGCUCACUGGCUCGUUUCUGACGCUCAGGCGCGACAGCGUGGGGAUCAAAC